UUCAGGAACGAAACGGAGCGCGCGGAGAUGCACAUCGUUCAGUUUUUUGCGGCUUUGUGGAGCUAUUUAAAGUGCCGGGGAAACACAACUGACAGUACUGUAUUUGACAAUAAACAUCUUCAAUGGGGAAAAGUAACACGUGAUGGAUCACCGAACAGGUCAUUUUAAGCGUCCUGUAGGUGUGGAUUUUCGCUUGCCAGGACAACACCAACUCAAACUCCUCCACAGAAAAGC